UCCUUGGUGGUCCAGUGGCUAAGACCCUGCAUUCCCAGUGCAGGGGCUGGGGUUCGAUCCCUGGUCAGGGAA
rnacentral:tRNA from 1 species